rnacentral:rRNA from 1 species
UCAGGUUGAUCCUGCCGGACUGACUGCUAUCGUAUUGGUACUAAGCCAUGCGAGUCGUUGUACAAUACAAGGCGGACUGCUCAGUAACACGUAAUUAACUUAACCUAUGGAUGGGGAUAACCUCGGGAAACUGUGAAUAAUACCCAAUGGACCACAGUGCCUGGAAUGGCCUGUGGUUGAAAUGAUUUAUCGCCGUAGGAUAGGACUGCGGCCUAUCAGCUUGUUGGUGAGGUAAUGGCCCACCAGGGCUAUAACAGGUACGGGCUCUGAGAGGAGGGGCCCGGAGAUGGGUACUGAGACACGGACCCAGGCCCUAUGGGGCGCAGCAGGCGAGAAACCUUUGCAAUGUGCGAAAGCACGACAAGGUUAAUCCGAGUGUCUCCUGCUAAAGGAGUCUUUUGUCAGUUGUAGAAUCACUGGUGAAUAAGGGGUGGGCAAGUUCUGGUGUCAGCCGCCGCGGUAAAACCAGCACCUCGAGUGGUCAGGAGGUUUAUUGGGCCUAAAGCAUCCGUAGCCGGUUGCAUAAGUUUCCGGUUAAAUCUAUGCGCUUAACGUAUAGGCCGCCGAAAAUACUGUGCAGCUAGGGAGUGCGAGAGGUCCCGGUACUCGA